rnacentral:lncRNA from 1 species
GCCCGUACCUGGGUUCCGUGUCUACGAUGAGUGGUUCGCUGCUUUCCUACUAGCAGUUCGUCCCUCGAACCUUUGCUGGUUCUCUCCAGCCUACGGGGCUGAUCCGGGCAGUGGUCGCAGCUUGCGGGAGCCAAUCUCCCCCUGCCCGGCCUCCCCUAAGCCUGGUGGGGCUCAGAAGCAGACCAGGUUCCAAUACACACACACUUAGGUUUGGGGGAAGGUCUUAGUGGCCUGAUCAUAGAAGCGGCUGUGGCUACCGUUACGGUCCAUGAGAUGCGUUUGGGUUUUGUGUUUCCUGGGUAUAAACCGACAGCGCGCUGCUAGUGCCCCUGGCUUGCAAUAGCCCCAAAUGAAAAUGCCUAAUGAGGUUGAAGAUGGUGACAGGUGAUUUGUGUCACAACACUUCUUGUGACCCAUAAUGAAUGACAUCCCUAGGAUUUGUGGAUGAGAGGAGGCCAAGAAAGUUAUUGCCUGGGCUGCCCCAUUCAGGAGUGACCGUCGUUUGCAUUUCAUGGUGUCUCCAAAAUAGAUUGUGUGUGUAGUCAUAGGUCCUCAAAGCAGAAGAUAAAUUUUUCCUGUAAGUCCUGGGUUUGAUUCCCUAGCGUUACCACACACCCUGAAGACAAUUUCUAUAUAAACUAAAGCAUUCUAGAACUCUGUCCCGUUUUAAUGAUUUUUUUAAUACAAACAUGAAGAAUCUGGAAAUCUCAAGUCUCUUGAGUUCUAAAAAGUACUAAAAUUUGUCUAGAUUUUAGUUUCCGCUAGCGACUUACUCUUUAAACUUACACAUGGGCCUGCAGAAAUGACUUAGAAGUUGAGAGCAGCCAGGCGUGGUGGUGCAUACCUUUAGUCGCUUGCACUUGAGAAGUAGAGGCAGUAGGAUCUCUUGUCAGUCCAAGUUCAUCUAAUCUACAUAACAAGUCCCAGGUCAGCCAUAGCUACAUAGUAAGACCUUUGGGCUGUAGAUAUGGUUUAGAAGAGCAUUUGUCUCGCACAAGACUCUAGAUUCCAUUUCAACAGAAGAACAAAAUGUUCAACCAUAGUCAGACCCAGUCUCAAAAUAAGCAAAAAAAAACAAAAACAAAAA